GGGACAUCGGCACUCAUGAGAAAGGGAGAGGGUAAGAUAUGUGAAGUGAGAGAGCCUGUGGCGGAUGUUCGAGAUGGACGGACAAACAGACAGAUACACAGAAAGAUAAACAGACAAUGGAUUCAGCUGAGCUGGAUGGCAAUAUGUCUGUUUCUCACACUACCAGGUGUGCCUACACAUGCCUCCUGUCCUGUUGAGCUCAACCCUCCCAGAGUAGUGGUGAGAUAUGGAGACUCCGUCUCAGUCAACUGCACCACAUCCACAGACCCCGAGGGGAUGGGGUGGGAGGUCACGUUCGGAGGUAUAGGUUUGCAAGAAAAUGUCAGCUUUGUCACCUGGACUGUGGGAAGCCUCAUGGACUGGACAAUAGAACCUAAAUGCUACAUCAAUCUACAAAAUGAAAGUCAGUGUACUGAGAUUCUCCCUGUCAUUCUCUACAAGACUCCAGACAGCGUGUCUAUCUCUCCUCUGAGCCACUCUGGUCCAAUGAUGGAGGGGAAGGAGUACCAGCUGCAGUGCGACAUCCAGAACAUCGCUCCUCUACAGAACCUGGUUGUGAGGUGGUACAAAGGCAAUGAAACUAUAGAGACUCAAACGUUUAAUGACUCCACAAAGGAACUAGUGAAUAUGUCCUCCACUAUCACCAUCACCCACAAGAGAUAUGAGGGUGAAGUAGAGUACAGAUGUGAGGCAGAGCUGGACCUGGGACCAGAGGGACCGAAACCUACUGCCUUGUCAUCAAAACCUCUUAAUGUUACUGUUUACUCUCACACAAACAAGUCGACAACACCCACGGCUAAGUCCUUAACCACCGCAGAUGCAAGGUGGGAUGAACCAUUCAAUUAUGACUACUACUUCCUCCGUGUUGUCGGUCUGUCUUUGGCUGCAACGCUCUUCAUCCUGGGUAUUAUAGUCAUUAGCUGUGAUAAAGUAUGCCGGAUGCCUAGGUGUCAUGUGGGCACAGGGAAGUCGUACCAAGUGGCCAGAGAGUAGUGAGGGAACAAACGUGUUACUGAGUGGCCUCAAGACACCAGAAGAGUUCAUCAGAGGGACAUGGUGAAACAACACUGAUGCAACAGACCUUAUCGGCCAUGUGCGUGUGUAUGUGUGUGUGAAAACGUUGUUGGACAAAACUCUGCAGCUCUCAUUUCAGAGAUAAGAACGUGAGAUGUGUUUCAUGUGCCUUUCCCACAGACUGCAAGUGAGACUCACCCAACAUUAUGAAAUUACCCCUCCCUCACUCUUCUAAAGACUUACCUGUAGUUUUGAAUGCAAGUUUUAUUAUACUUUGGCAAUCAUGUUUUAAUGUAUAUUUUCAAAUGCUUACAAAAUGUUACAGAAUACAUACUGUAGAUGUUACGUAGCUCAGAGGCGCCCCCAAGAGCACCGGAAGAGAUAUUAUGGAGGUCCAUCAUGCCUCUGACAGCCUCAUCUAACGGAACAGUCCCUCUGGUUCCGGGUAGGGAAUUGCCAAUACUACAUGCCAAAGGCACAAUACAGACAUAGGUGUCUGAGAAGCUUCUCUGUUCUACCUUUAAAUGGAAAUUCCUUAAUUAUUUUCAUUAAUGCACUGUUAAUACAGAUCCAAUGUUUUGCAUGUCAACAGUCAAGUUUUCAAGAUAUUGGACUUUCAAGAAGCAAAGUGUCACUGGCCACAUGAUUGUCCUUAUAACAGAACAGAGAGGUGGAGAGAGAAUAAAGAAAAUUAAAAACUCCAGAAUAAACCAUGGACAAAUGAGUCACGCUGACAAGUGAAGAAUAGGGGCAUUAUUUUCUUGUUAGUCUUUGUUAAAUGUUAUUUCCAUUACCGAAUUCAACUUUGAAAUUAACAUUAAUUGCGAGUCUGGCUGGAUAAUGACAAGAUGAGUCAUGUUUGAAUUCUGGUUUCCACCUCCUCUAUCGAACAGCCUGCUCAACUCUAGCCAAGCUGUUUCUAUGAAAUCGUUUAAAAUCAUUACCUCAGAAACGGCCAAGCCUCAUACAAUAAGCCUCAUGAAUAAAAUGGCCCUGAAAAACAUUCCACUAUCUGUUAAUCUUCAAAAUACCUCUAAAGUUAUCAGGAUGUAAAAAUAAAA